rnacentral:lncRNA from 1 species
GAAAGGAUCUGGAGGGGCAAAAAGAAGAGAUCGCACACAAUCUGUAGCAAAGUUAGUGUCCUCCUCAGAACACCAUAUUUGACCACCCUCUUAUGUCAACUUUUCUCCUUGGGACAUCUUAUUUAUGGUUUUUACUUCUUUCUAUAUUCCUUAAACUUAUGUCCAGAAAGUCCCCGGGACUUCCUUUAGGCAGCUCACACUCAAUAAAACCUGAACAAAGUCAUUAAAACUCAUCAUCUUUAUGCCCCUUAUCCAACAUACUCCUCCACCUAUAUUCUAUAUCUUAGUUCAGCUAUUAUGCCUGUAAUCCCAGCAAUUUGGCAGGCUGAGGCAGGAUGAUUGCAAAUUUGAGGCCAGCCUCAGCAGCUUAGCAAGGCCCUGAGCAACUUGGUGAGACCCUGUCUCAAAAAAACAAACAAACAAACAAACAAAGGACUGGGGAUGUGGCCCCAUAUCAGGGGCCCCUGGAUGAGGUAAAGGCAAGUCAGUACUGGGGGGAAAAUUGAUUAUCCUGGUACCCAAGUCAGAAAUCCAGGAGUCAUUUUGUACCAUAAUUGUUUCCUCAUCUGCAACAUCCAAUCACCAAUUAUGCUGUUUUAUCUAUAUUUCUCCUCUAGCUUCUUUUUGUCCAUUUCUAUACCCACUUUUCUGACUUAAAUAAUUAAUACCUGUUGUAUCUUUUCUUUUGGGCUCCAAUAAAUUUCCUCUUGAAACACUGACCCAUAUUACUGUCAGACUGUAUGCUUAGGAGUGAAAUGUUUUAUUUAUUUUUUUACUGGUGAAAUAUUUAUUAAGAACUAGUAUGUGCCAGAUAUUAUGCUAAACACUGGAAAUUUGGGAAUGAAUAGACAUAUUCUCUGCUUUCAGUUAUAAUCUCCCAGUUAGAUAAGUACAGAUUGAUAGGUACAAUGAUAGAAUUACAAACAAGGGACUUAGCUUAUGAUAGGAGUAAGGGUAUUACAUAAAACUCUUUGGAACAACACUUAGGUUUAGCCCUCCAAAGACUAAUAAGUGUUCAAGUAAAAGGAAGGAGAGGAGAAACAACCAGAAAAGAGAUUUCAAACUAUGAGGAUAGCCUGGUGCAAGUUUUAGAAUCAAGAGAGAGCAUACAGAUCUGGAAGGAUUUGGAGUAAUAGUGUAAAUGAAGUAGAAAGUGAAAUCAGUGGUCAGAUAAUGAAGAGUUCUGUUAAGUAUUUUUAUCUGGAAGUUUAUGAGGACUCCUGGAGGACUUUAAAUUGAGGCUUAGCAUGAUCAAGUCUGUUUUAGAAGUAUUAUUCUUGUAGUUGUUUGGUGAAUGGAUUUCAAAGGGGGCAAGACUGAAGGCAAAUUAGCCAGUUGUUAAAAGACUUCACUGAACUAAGGAAGUAGAGGCGGGUCUGGAGUGAUCCAAAAUAUAUUCAGGUGUGAUUACUUAUAAGUCACAUUGAAAGUUGGAACCUAGAGGGUGAGGGAGGGAAAGGAAUCUAGACUGAUGUCUGGCACUCUGGCUUAGCAACUGGAUGGACAGUGUUAAUAUUCACCAGGGUAGGGAAUUCAGAAAGAUGAGGUUUAGGCAAGUCAGUUAAUGAACCUGACUUGGGAAAUGCUGACUUUGCGGUUCUUGUGGGCCAUUCAAGUGGGGAUGCUGAGCUGAGUGUUCAUGUCUAGAUUUUAAAUUAUGACAACAGAUGGACUUCUCAAGGACUUUUGGAAGAAAGUAAGAACAAGUGUUCAAUAAGUAGAAAAAAAAAAAUCUUCAGUCCUGAGGGAGAAGUCAACCUCUGAAGCAGUCCCCAUUGUCUACUGAAUCAAGCCCAAGUUCUUUUCUUUUUAACACUUUUUUGGUUGUUGUUGUUGUUAUAAAUGGACCCAAUACCUUUAUUUUAUUUAUUUAUUUUUACGUGGUGCUGAGGAUCGAAACCAGUGCCUCACACAUGCUAAGGAAGCUUUCUACCGCUGAGCCACAACCCCAGCCCGCAAGUUCUUAAUUUAAAACUUUCUCUCCAACUUUAUCUCAUGGUAAUCUACAAAUGACAUUUUGAGCUCUACGAGUAUGAAACUGCUGGUGGUUCUCCAGCAUACUUGGGACUACUGGGUGUAACUUAAGGCUUGUAGGAUAUGGUUAGAGAAGGUAGGUCACUGGGGAUGGCCCCUGGAUGGGUUUAUCUUCUCCCCAGCCUCUUCUAUGCUGCUCUCUCUCUCUGCUUCCCAGGUGCCAUGGGUGGAAGCAGCUUUCCUUACCUACAGUCUUCCGCCAUGAUGCUCUGCCUCACCUCAGGCCCACAGCAAUGGAGCUGGCUGACCAUGGACUGAGACCUCUGAAACCAUGAGCCAAAGUAAACUUUUCCUCCUGUAAUUAGUUUUUGUCAGGCAUUUUGGUCACAAAAGUUUUCAUCAUCAUAGUGAUGAAAAACUAACACUCACCUAUGGAAAGAAGAAGGGAGCAGGAAGGAGUAGGCUGACGGAGAAGACAAACUCUGACGCAAACUCAGCAACUGCUUCAUCUGGCACUGAGAAGCCCUCUGGCAUCAGGAUGGCCUUUCAGAGUUAUUGCAAAUUAAAAUGAAGUGGUCAGGCCUUUGUAUCUGCCUUUACCAGUCAAUGGCUAUGCUAUGGGCCACCCAGGAAGGGGUGAGGCAUCUCUGCAGCUGAAGCAAUAACUGUAGAGGCCAAGAGCACUCCCCGCAGCAGGGGCAGCACAUCUAUUUCUCAAAGGGGGAUAAGGCAGUGCAUUCCAGUGUUCACCACACACACUGCAUUUUUUCCUUGAAUUUCUAAGGCCAAUCAGAGUAUGUGGCAGACAGCAGGCCAAAUUUGAGGUUUGCAGGACAACUCAGGCUAGUAGAAAAAUAUUGUUUGUAGCAUUUUUUAAAAAUUAGCUUUCUAUAUUUAAAAAUUGGAAGAUUUUACAUAAAAAUCAUCUUGAUUUCUAGCUUUACCAGGGGCUCUUAACCACUGAGACACAUUCCCACAUUUUUUUUUUUUUUUUAAUUUAGAAACAGUGUCUUCUUGUAAGUUGCUUAGGACCUCACUAAGUUGCUGGCUUUGAACUUGCAAUUCUCCUGCCUCAGCCUCCUGAGCCACUGGGAUUACAGGUGUGUGUCAUGAUGUCCAGUUCUAGCUUUACAUGGGAAAAAAAAAUGGCAACACUGGGUCUCUUUUUCAGAUGCAUAGUAUGG